rnacentral:tRNA from 1 species
AGCAGAGUGUCGCAGCGGAAGCGUGCUGGGCCCAUAACCCAGAGGUCGAGGGUUGGAAACCAUCCUCUGCUA